CUUUAUGCAGGAGCUGCCGAAGACUGCGAUCUUUUUGAUACUCGAAGAUCAAAAGAUCGCAGCCUUCGGCAGCUCCUGCACAGGU
rnacentral:antisense_RNA from 1 species